GCCUGGGUGGCUCAGUCGGUUUAGCGUCUGCCUGCUGCUCAGGUCAUGAUCUCAGGGUCGUGGGAUCGAGCCCCACAUCGGGCU
rnacentral:tRNA from 1 species